GUAGUUAGCCGGGGCUUUCUAAUGGGGUACCGUCAUUUUUUCGUCCCCCACAACAGAGGUUUACAAUCCGAAAACCUUCUUCCCUCACGCGGCGUUGCUGGGUCAGGCUUGCGCCCAUUGCCCAAUAUUCCCCACUGCUGCCUCCCGUAGGAGUCUGGACCGUGUCUCAGUUCCAGUGUGGCCGAUCAGCCUCUCAGCUCGGCUACCCAUCGCAGGCUUGGUGGGCUGUUAUCUCACCAACUACCUAAUGGGACGCGAACCCCUCCCUCAGCGGAUUGCUCCUUUGACCUCAUCCCGAUGCCGGGUCGUGGUCUUAUGCGGUAUUAGCACUUGUUUCCAGGUGUUAUCCCCCUCUGAAGGUCAGGUUGUUCACGCGUUACUCACCCGUUCGCCACUAAAAUUUAUCUUCCAUCCGAAAACUUCUGAUAAAUCUCCGUUCGACUUGCAUGUGUUAGGCACGCCGCCAGCGUUCGUCCUGAGCCAUAAUCAAACUACUGA
rnacentral:rRNA from 1 species